rnacentral:tRNA from 1 species
GGUAGUGUAGUUCAGUGGAGAGUAUGUGCUUAGCAUGCACAAGGUCCUGGGUUCAAUUCCCAGCACCCUCA